rnacentral:RNase_P_RNA from 2 species
CCGGGGAGCCGGGCAGCCGCGUCCUUCGAAAAGCUCAGAUGAGCGAGGCGAAGGCCGAGGAAAGUCCGGGCUCCACGAAACAAGGGUGGCGGGUAACGCCCGCCGGGCGAGUGCCGCUCAUCCUGAGCUUGUCGAAGGAUCAGCGGCGCGAAGCUUAGGGAAAGUGCCACAGAGAGCAGACCGCCAACCCCGCUCAUCCUGAGCUUGUCGAAGGAUCGAAUGGGAAGGUAAGGGUGAAAGGGUGCGGUAAGAGCGCACCGCGCUGCCGGUAACGGUAAGCGGCAAGGUAAACCCCACUCGGAGCAAGACCGAAUAGGGGCUGCGCGCCGGCGCUGCGAAAGCGGGAGAUCGGCGGGUUCGUUUCGAGCCCAGGCAGCCCGGGUUGGUCGCUUGAGCGGUGUAGCAAUACGUCGCCUAGAGGAAUGGCUGCCACCGCGGCGUAAGGUCCCCCGGACUUCGGUCCUAUGGGGAGACCACGCCAGGAACAGAACCCGGCUUACAGGCUCCCCGGCGCA